rnacentral:rRNA from 1 species
CGGGGUGCAGCAGGCGCGAAAACUCCACAAUGUACGGAAGUACGAUGGGGUUAUCUCGAGUGCAGUCCGAUAAGGGCUGCUUUUCCAUAGAGUAAUAUCCUGUGGGAAUAAGAGGGGGGCAAGACUGGUGUCAGCCGCCGCGGUAACACCAGCCCCUCGAGUGGUGGGGACUAUUAUUCGGUCUAAAGCGUCCGUAGCUGGCUGUAUCCGUCCCCCGUUAAAUCCAGCGUCCUAAGCGUUGGACUGCGGGUGAUACCAUACAGCUAGAGGGUGGGAUAGGUGAGCGGUAUUUCUGGGGUAGGGGCGAAAUCCUUUGAUCCCAGGAGGACCACCAGUGGCGAAGGCUGCUCACUAGAACACGCCUGACGGUCAGGGACGAAAGCUGGGGCAGCGAACCGGAUUAGAUACCCGGGUAGUCCCAGCUGUAAACGAUGCUAGCUAGGUGUUGGGUCGGCCACGCGCCGCCCCAGUGCCGCAGGGAAGCCGUUAAGCUAGCCACCUGGGGAGUACGGCCGCAAGGCUGAAACUUAAAGGAAUUGGCGGGGGAGCAC